CUCGGUACCUCGGGCUGGUGUUCUCAGAAACGGUGGAGUUGGCUUCGCCUCCUGUGCUGGGCCGAGGCGCCAGUGAGACUUCAGCCAUUGCCCCCCACACAAAGUCGUUUUUAGAGUCGCGAUUGACGCAGAGGGAGGAGAGGGGAGGUGGCUGCCUGAAAAACUGGUUGCACGUGAACCCAGCCCUGUCGCCGGGGGCAGAGGUGAUUUUGGAAAUAGCCCGCGAGUGGCUUAAGGACGUCCGCUGUGCCCUUAAUUCACAGUAAAUUUGAUUCAGCUGCUUUCUUGAGGCCACGCGACAGAUAAUCCACAGCUGAAGAUUUUGCUGCACUACCUUGAACACAGGGACCGAACUCAGGACCUUGGUAUUAUCAGCACCCGGCUCUAACCAACUGAGCUAACUGGCCAGCCCUAACUCCUAUUUUUAAUUUCUUCGUUGGACAACAUAACUUAUUGUUCCUUCUCAGCAAUCCCAUACUGCUUUUAAGAUAAUUAAGGGAAGAA